rnacentral:sRNA from 1 species
GGGAGUCUCAAUAGGGAUUUAGAUGGAUUAGUAGAUCGGAAACCCCUUAGGAUUAUUCUUAGAGUUCUUCAUCUUGAUUAUUCU